rnacentral:rRNA from 1 species
CACGUAGGGCGCGAGCGUUGUCCGGAAUUAUUGGGCGUAAAGAGCUCGUAGGCGGCCUGUUGCGUCCGCUGUGAAAGCCCCGGGGCUUAACCCCGGGUCUGCAGUGGAUACGGGCAGGCUAGAGGUAGGUAGGGGAGAAUGGAAUUCCCGGUGUAGCGGUGAAAUGCGUAGAUAUUCGGAAGAACACCAGUGGCGAAGGCGACUUACUGGACACAUAUUGACGCUGAGGUGCGAAAGCGUGGGGAGCAAACAGG